AUGCAAUGUACCUGAGUGAUUGGAAGGGGUGGAGCCAGGGUGCACCCCUUCCCAGACCUCAUUUAACGGUUGGCGGUGGAGGUGAGGGUACCUCAUCUGGAAGUCCUUGUAUGUUUCAGGCCUUUCAAAGGUUCCAGACAGAUAUGCAAAAUGCUUGUAAUGAAGCUGCAAGCCAUGUGAAAAAGGCGUGACAAGAUACUGCAUGUAGCAGAGAGAGGCUCCUGCUUCAAGAAGAAGAAAAAGAAGAGAGGGCAUACUCCCGAGCCUGAAUUAAGAGCCAAGUGAAGUACCAUCCAGAGCAGUGAAAAUAUGUUUGGCAGCUAUAGAGCAGUCAGCUGCACACACAGGGAUGACAGUGUCAAAGGACAGCCUUUCAUGAGGACCAGAAGGCCCUUAAGGUCUGCUUUCAGUCUGUUACUAAACACCAAGGCUAAUAUUCUUCUCCUAAUGUGACCUUGCUGGGGCAGAGAUUUCAAAACAAGCAGCCUCUGACAACUACCUGACAAUGCAGGAUGAAUAGAAGACACCAGGAAACUCAAGACAUCUGAAAUGCUUCGGACUGCACAGUGCCAAAGACAAGUUGUGUGAUAGAUGUGAAAGGGUGUACUGCAUUGAAACCCUUUUAUACGUUUUCCUCUGGAUAACUCUGGAUAAAUAAUUUUGUGCUGACUUGAAAAGUUCCUGGAAAACUUACCUGUGUGGUGGUUGUUUUGAGAAGACUGAAGAUCCAUCCAUAUGGAGAGCUGCAGGUGCUUCUGGGUGAGGGGAAAUGGACAUGCCCUGUGGAAGCAUGAGUGGCAUGAGGGUGACUCAGAUUCUGUGCAAGUCUGACAGUGCUGUGGGGGAGAGGAACUGGGGCUCCCACUCUCCCCCCUGCACCCUGCUGGUUGAAUUGCAAGUGGAGUACAGCCAGGAGGACCACCUGCAAACACGGAGCUCAAAGAGUACAGGUUAACUAAAUGGCCUUGGAGUGAGCUGACAGUGUUCAGGAUCACAGAACUUGCAGGAACAUGAAGAGAUCUUGCCAAGUUGUGGAAAGAGAAAAAUGGAAAUGUAAUGAUGAAAUGCAAGGAAACAGUUUGGCUGUGAUGCAGCAUAAGGAUACUCCAUCUUGCCUGGAAA